UGAACUUACUUGGAGAUUGUAUGCGAAU
rnacentral:sRNA from 1 species